rnacentral:lncRNA from 1 species
GAAAGACAAAAAAGUUUUGUUGUAAAGCUAGUCUUAACUCGUAGCCUGUUUGAUUUGAAUAAGUAAGCUCGAAGGAUAUUUUAUACCUAGUGUCCUAAAGCCAAUUGAUUUGUAAGUCAUUGACUGAAAACUCACUACAUAAAUCAGACAGAAAGCUUAAGAGAUUAAGACACUCAAUAAUAGUAUAAUGUUAAAGUAAUAAAAAAAUCAAUAAAUGAAAGACGGAAGUAAAACUACACUUGCUCAUACGAAAGUAGAUGAUUUAGAGAUAAAGAUAGGGGUAAUUUAGAAAAAAAUUAGAAAAAAUUUAGUGUUCUUGACUUAACUUCUAUAUUGAUUAGUACUAAUACUCCAAUGACAUAGCUCACUCACGCUCUACUGAAUAUCAAUAGUUUUUUUUUAAAUUACUUGGUAAAACUUGAAACUCGAAGCUAAAUGGUACUUAGUACUAAAUCUUUCUUUACUCAAGGACGAGCAAAAUUCAAGUUAGAAGGUAUAAUAAGUAUAUAAAAUAUAUCAAUAAAAGUAUUAAUUUAUAAAUUAAUUUAUAUUUAUUUCUUAAGAAUUAAUACUUUUAUUUAUAUUUUACAGAAAAUAUGAUCGUUAAUGAAAAGAGCUCGAUUCGAGGGUUAGAAAGACUCAAAUGUGGAAUA